GACUUAAAAUGCUCAAUGCAAACAAAGCAGUGGAGCUGUAGGUGUAGGAGGCGUACAGCUCCAAGUUCACCAUACGGUUGAUGGCAGCCUCGCAAUCGCUCUGAAAGUUCUGUCGCACCUGGGACUCCAUUUCAGCCUUUCAGUUGUUUUGGGUGGCGCAAAGAAGUCACAGAAAGUCAGCAAUUAGUAGAAGAUGUUUAAAAAAAGAGCAAAAGACUCAGAGAGGGUUCCGUUCAAGCACUGUUGAAGCAAGAACUCUGCUCAGAGUCAGGAGUAGAUCUAAA